rnacentral:tRNA from 1 species
AAUAAGUUAGUAUAAAUUUAGUAUAUGGGAUUCAUACUCUCAUGGUUUUUACUUAUUU